rnacentral:rRNA from 1 species
AUUGAACGCUGGCGGCAGGCCUAACACAUGCAAGUCUAGCGAGCGGCGGACGGGUGAGUAAUGUAUGGGGACUGCCCGCUAGAGGGGUAUAACUACUGGAAACGGUGGCUAAUACCGCAUACUAUCGGAUAACCCAUAUGGGAUUAGCUAGUCGGUGGGGUAAAGGCUCACCUAGGCGCAGAUCUCUAGCUGGUCUGAGAGGCUGAUCAGCCACACUGGGACUGGGACACGGCCCAGACUCCUACGGAGGCAGAAGUGGGGAAUAGUGCACAAGGGGCGCAAGCCUUAUGCAGCCAGGCCGCGUGGAUGAAGAAGGCCUUAGGGUUGUAAAGUACUUUCAGCGGGGAGGCGUUACCCGCAGAAGAAGGACCGGCUAACUCCGUGCCAGCAGCCGCGGUAAUAC